GAUAUUUCACGAUUUGGGAAACCCUUAUGCAGCGACGCCGCGUGAGUGCAGAAGUAUUUCGGUAUGUAAAGCUCUAUCAGCAGGGACGAAAAUUUGGGUACCUGACUAAGAAGCCCCGGCUAACUACGUGCCCGCAGCCGCGGUAAUACGUAGGGGGCAAGCGUUAUCCGGAUUUACUGGGUGUAAAGGGAGCGUAGGUGGUGUGGUAAUUCAGAUGUGAAAGCCCGUGGCUCAACUGCGGGAUUGCAUUUGAACCUACCAAACUAGAGUGCAGGAGAGGUAAGUGGAAUUCCUAGUGUAGCGGUGAAAUGCGUAGAUAUUAGGAGGAACACCAGUGGCGAAGGCGGCUUACUGGACUGUAACUGACACUGAGGCUCGAAAGCGUGGGGAGCAAACA
rnacentral:rRNA from 1 species